rnacentral:lncRNA from 1 species
GAGGAACACACGUGGGAAACGGAGAUCUGGAAAUCCCGUCUCCCGCGUUCCCUGUGCCCACGGGCCCUGCGCAGUCUCCGUGUGCCCCGAGGUGAGCGCCAACGUGAAGGCCACUGGCUAAGACGUCUACGCGUAUAAAAAUACACAAUUAAGCACUGAGGGGGCAGGGACGGUGCGGGGAGGCAAGCAGGGGGGGAGGGGGGCUGAGGCGUGUGGCCUGGCUCGGGGCUGGUGCUGGCUAGCUGGGUGCUGGGCCCGGACGGUGCUGGGGGGGUGUGCUUGGGGACGGGGGCCCAGCCGGUAGGAGGGAGGGGCGGGGGGGGGGGCGACCACCCAACACCCCAUCCGAGCGUGCGCGCGGCGGGCGGGAGGGGAGGGCGCGCACGCGCGGACGCACAGACGCGCGACGCCGCUCCCCGCCCAGGGCGUGUGGAAGCUGGCGGAGCCGGGCGCUCCCGGACCAGCUCCCUGAGGAGGAACGCGGCCCGGGGUUUGGGCCGUCGCUUGCCGUCGCCUCCGGUACGGCCGCCGGGCAGUGCCUGCAAGGAGAGAAAGCCGAAGAAAGUGAAGUCCAGAGGGAAGAAAGGGAAAGACAAUGAGCAAGAGAAGAAUGAUUUCUGGCACCCAAGGCGCUGGCUGAGCUCAGCUGCAAGCCCGUUGACAGAACAGCCCAAGAGCAGCAGCCAGUGGGAACCAGUCGGCUCCUGGCACCACGCAGGCCAGCAAGGAGGGAAAACAGAUUUCAGAGGAGACAGGCGAAGCUUGGACAAGCGCCCAGUCAGCUUUUGGCCAGUUGCUUUCAGGAAAUCAGUAAGUUCCCAUUUUAAACAAACUAUCUCUAAUAAAAUAAUGAUACAGAAGUAUAUUUCCC